rnacentral:rRNA from 1 species
UACCAUCAUUGAGUUGGGGACUCUGAAGAUACUGCCCCGGUCAACGGGGAGGAAGGUGGGGAUGACGUCAAGUCCUCAUGGCCUUUAUGUCCAGGGCUACACACGUGCUACAAUGGGCUGUACAGAGGGUAGCGACCUCGCGAGAGCAAGCCAAUCCCAAAAAGCAGUCCUUAGUUCGGAUUGGAGUCUGCAACUCGACUCCAUGAAGCUGGAAUCGCUAGUAAUCGCGGAUCAGCAUGCCGCGGUGAAUACGUUCCCGGGCCUUGUACACACCGCCCGUCACACCAUGAGAGUUAGUUGUACCAGAAGUUGUUGGGCUAACCCGCAAGGGAGGCAGGCACCUAAGGUAUGGCUGAUGAUUGGGGUG